AUGAACGCUGGCGGUGUGCCUAAUACAUGCAAGUCGAGCGAACAGACGAGGAGCUUGCUCCUCUGACGUUAGCGGCGGACGGGUGAGUAACACGUGGAUAACCUACCUAUAAGACUGGGAUAACUUCGGGAAACCGGAGCUAAUACCGGAUAAUAUAUUGAACCGCAUGGUUCAAUAGUGAAAGACGGUUUUGCUGUCACUUAUAGAUGGAUCCGCGCCGCAUUAGCUAGUUGGUAAGGUAACGGCUUACCAAGGCGACGAUGCGUAGCCGACCUGAGAGGGUGAUCGGCCACACUGGAACUGAGACACGGUCCAGACUCCUACGGGAGGCAGCAGUAGGGAAUCUUCCGCAAUGGGCGAAAGCCUGACGGAGCAACGCCGCGUGAGUGAUGAAGGUCUUCGGAUCGUAAAACUCUGUUAUUAGGGAAGAACAAAUGUGUAAGUAACUAUGCACGUCUUGACGGUACCUAAUCAGAAAGCCACGGCUAACUACGUG
rnacentral:rRNA from 1 species